AUUAACCCCGGCGGAAAAGGCUCGCUCUACUUCCGGUACCUCUUCCGCCCUGCAGCUCUGGGGCGUGUCUGUCCGCGGCACCUCCCGCGCCCUAUGGUGCUGGCUGCUCCCAGCCUCCUCAGCGGCGGCGGCCGGGGCCGGGAGGAGCGCGGCGGAGGCGGCGGGCGCGGGCCGGGGCCUGCCCCGGGCCUGCCGAGCGCCCGCCAUGGAGCCCGAUGUGUCCGAGGAGGAGGAGGGCUCGUCCGUGGAGGGCGCCGGUGCCCCCCCGGAGGCCGGCGCGGGGGCCCUGGACGCGGCAGGAGGUCUGGCACCGAAGAGGGUAGCCGUCACCGAGGGACCAUCACUACCAGGACAGCCUGGCCAAGGGAAGAAGAUUGGUCAUCGAAGUGUUGAUGCUUCUGGUGAAACUACCUACAAAAAGACCACCUCAUCCACUCUGAAGGGGGCCAUCCAGCUGGGGAUUGGGUACACUGUCGGCAAUUUGAGCUCCAAGCCAGAGAGAGAUGUCCUGAUGCAGGACUUCUACGUAGUGGAAAGUAUUUUUUUCCCAAGUGAAGGAAGUAAUCUCACUCCAGCUCACCAUUAUGCUGACUUCAGGUUCAAGACCUAUGCGCCAGUGGCUUUUCGGUACUUCCGAGAACUCUUUGGGAUUCGUCCAGAUGAUUAUUUGUAUUCCCUAUGUAAUGAACCUCUGAUAGAGCUGUCGAACCCUGGUGCCAGCGGUUCUCUCUUCUAUGUCACCAGUGACGAUGAAUUCAUCAUAAAAACUGUGAUGCACAAAGAAGCUGAAUUCUUACAGAAGCUCCUUCCUGGCUACUACAUGAACCUGAACCAGAACCCCCGGACGCUGCUACCAAAGUUUUAUGGACUCUACUGUGUGCAGUCAGGGGGCAAAAACAUCCGUGUGGUCGUGAUGAACAACAUCCUGCCUCGUGUGGUGAAAAUGCACCUGAAGUUUGACCUGAAAGGCUCCACCUAUAAACGCCGGGCAUCCAAGAAGGAAAAAGAAAAAUCCAGCCCUACAUACAAGGAUCUAGACUUCAUGCAAGACAUACCUGAGGGCCUGAUGUUGGAUGCAGACACCUUCACUGCACUGGUGAAAACGUUGCAACGUGACUGUCUGGUGUUGGAAAGCUUUAAAAUCAUGGACUACAGCCUCCUGCUUGGGGUUCAUAACAUAGACCAGCAAGAACGGGAGCAGCAGUCCGAGGGAGCCCACAGCACGUCGGAUGAGAAGCGUCCUGUGGGGCAGAAGGCACUUUACUCCACGGCCAUGGAGUCCAUCCAGGGUGGGGCUGUCCGGGGGGAGUCCAUAGACACAGAUGACGCGAUGGGAGGAAUCCCAGCAGUGAAUGGGAAAGGAGAGCGUCUCCUGCUCCAUGUAGGAAUAAUAGAUAUCCUUCAAUCGUACAGGUUCAUCAAGAGGCUAGAACAUACCUGGAAGGCCCUUGUCCAUGAUGGGGACACGGUGUCCGUGCACAGACCCAGCUUCUAUGCAGAGAGGUUCUUCAAAUUCAUGACCAACACAGUGUUCCGAAAGAAUUCCUCUCUGAAGUCAUCUCCCUCAAAGAAAGGGCGCAGUGCCUUGCUGGCUGUCAAAACUGCUGGUCCAACAGCUGCAUUUUCAGCCAGCCAGCUUCCCUCUGAAAAGGAUGAGACACAGUAUGACCUUCGUGCAGCCCGGAGCUACCCCACACUUGACGAUGAAGCAGGCAGGCCAGACUUGCUACCCUGCACACCUCCUUCCUUUGAAGAAGCUACCACAGCUUCCAUAGCCACAACACUGUCUUCAACAUCUCUCUCUGUUCCCGAGCGAUCCCCUUCGGAGACCUCUGAGCAGCCCAGGUACAGGAGGCGUACACACUCCUCAGGGCAGGAUGGCAGGUCACACGAAGAGGUGCGGGUUGAGGAGGAGCUUCAGCAGAUCAGUGUUGAGCUGGAGCCCAAAUGUGAUGUUGAGAUCAUAGCUCCUGAAGAUGAUAAAGAGUGAGUGUUCUAUGGUGCUGGGCAGCUUUGCAGACCCCUGCCUGGUGUCAUUUGGUCCUGGAUGUGACGGUGGAGCAUCCCCAGGACCUCUGUAGUAAAUUAUAGCCUUGCUUGCUCAAUUUUGAUAGACUCUAUCAUCUUUUCCCCCCCUCCAGAGAGGCAGCUUCUUCAGCCUGUGCCAUUGUAACGUCCACAGCUACUGUAGAGGUAGAGACAGCCAGCCAGGCCUCGGAACCAGCCAGCCAGGCCUCAGAACCAGCCAGCCAGGCCUCGGAUGAAGAUGAUGUGCCAGUCACAGACAUAUACUUUUAAUCUCUAUGCAGACACAGAAGCCCCAGAGAGCAGCGAUUCCCUCUGCAGGUCGAUGUGUUCCCCUUUUAUUGAUGCAGCCAUUCCAGUGGGAUGGGGAAGAGCUUGCUGACACCAACCAGUAUUGCUGCACUGCAGGAUCCCGGGCACUGCAUUUCAGAACGGAGCAAAACUAUAACCGUGUCUUUCUACUUACCCCAGACGUGGGCAGCAAAGGAAACCACCUGCAGCUCCUGAGGGAGGCAGCAGCGGGGUGUAGAGAAUCCUGAGUAGUAAUACAGUGUUUUCCAGACGUGCACUACCGUAGCUACCCAUCCAUGUGUGAUACUGUGAACCUUUUUAAGUUUUUAACUGUGUAUUUAUUUCUUUUACCUUUGCACAGAGGCAGCACAAAUGUGCUUUUUUAAACAUUUAGUUUACUGCACUCUUUUUUUUUCCCUUUUUUUUUUUGUUUCUUUUCUUUUCCUGUCAUAUAUUUGUGCAUCAGAAAGGAGUGUGAGACCUCACUGGAGAACUGGUAGGAGCACGUUGCUGGGGAGGGCAGGGACCGGAGUGGCUUCACUGGAGGCAGCAGCAUGGUCUGACCAACUGAUGGAGUCGGGAGGUUUGAGGCUGUUCAGAUUCUGCCACGGUUUUGCCGAGUGAUCUAAGGCAAGUCACUUGCCCACUCUGUGCCUCGGUUUCCCCCAUGAUAAGGGGUGCACAGUACCCACUUCCGUUAAAGCACUUAAACCCUGGGAUGAAAGGUGCUAUGAAAAUGCAAUGUAUUAAAGGCCAUGGAAUAGAAUCACUCCCAUGUUACAGUAGUCCAAAGUAGCCAUGCCAAUUUUCUUGGAUUAAAGCGUCGCUGGUGACUUCUCUCAAUCUGUGCCACUGUGUGGGGGCAGCAAGAGCAAUCUUGGACCAAUCCCGAGGGACAGUGAUGUUGUCGCCUCAGCUCUCCUCUGGCUGUCGUGCUGGUUUCUGCCUCCGCCAUGUGCUGCAUCACCCCUCACUCUGUGCUUUGAGCCCCAAUGCUUCCUCUGAACUGACUGCCACACCGGACACACUGGCACAGACGGAUAUGCACCUCCCAGGACCAUCUGUGCCUGGGCCGGACACUGCAUCCCACUGGAGCCACUUAGCACCUUGCAUGCUCAUGGCUGUACUCAGGAGGACACAACCAUUGGGUUCACGUAGAUGAUCUGUACCUCAGGGUGGUCAGCAAGGCACUGGAGGUGGGAAUGGGAGCUUGGCUCUGCCACCAAAUGCCGUGUUUGUGGGCUCUGUUGGUGACUGGGAUGUUGUUGCCUGUGGUAACAUCAGCUGCUGGGCAUCACUGCUUCAGCUGUCUAUAGUUUGCUUGAGGAGGGCUUUAAAGCAAGGGCAUUUGGUGUCACCAGGUGUUGGUAAGACAAGGCUUGCCCAACCACCAGCAGGGCACAUGCCAUAGCAUUAUCUUCAACUCCAGCAACCCCAUUCUCAUCUCCCAGAGAGAGGAAAGAAAAUCCUUUAGACCAGAAGGAGCCAGGUCUCAUUCCUGUGCUUUAUGAGCCUUGCUUAAGAAAGAGGGUCAAAAUGUUGUUAUUCUCAUUACAAUGUUUCAGACUGUCCUUGGGAUUCUUUGUAGAGGAGUGGGGGAAAGGGACCCUUCUCCCAGUCUGAAUUCCCAGCAGUGCUCAGGACAGCUUAAUUCAGGUCCCAGAGGGGAACUGGGCUGGUGGGAAUAGCUGCCAUGUGCUGAACUUGGUGAGGAUCUUCAGGAAUGGAUGUUUUCUUGCCUAGCAGUACAGGACCCAGACUUCCCCCCUUUGCCUGCAGAUGCUGAAGGCUGUAAGGUGUGCUGCUCUCAAGAGCACAGAUUGCAGAUCUUGCAAGCUGCUGCCAUUAGAUGUAUUCAUGUAUUUACCAAAUAAUCUAUCGGAAGUCUUUAACUCUCCCCUUUGAGUCACUCCUCAAUGGCUCAUUCACCCAGCUGCCAGCAUUGCUCCAUGGCAGCCCUGUUGCAGGCUGAGGAAUGUCUCUUAUCGCCUCUCUGGGCCAGCCCUGGGCUCCACAGGCUGUGAGCAGCACUCAAGGAGCUCAGAAGAGAGGGGACAGGAGGACUGUGAUACCUACAGCCCAACCUGCAUCUGAGCUGAAAGCUGGAGGCUUCAAAAUGUUUAGUAUUCAGCCUUUUUUUCCUCUCAAAGUGAUGCUGUGUGUAGAGAGGCCAGAGGGAGCCACAUCCCUUGUGCAUCUUCAGAUGCUGCUCUUGGGUUCUGUGCUGGAGGAGUCCAGGAAGUUGGGCUUGGGUGGCCUGGCCUGAGCUCACCACCCUGGAAACACCGGGCUUGAGGGUGCUGGGUUUGUCCCCCUCGGCCUUUCCAGCCAACUGAAAUCAAGCACCUUGUUUAAGAUGGUUUAAACGUUGCUGAUGGAGACUUUCAUUCCUUCCCCUCACUUCAGGAGGCUCUAAAGCCUCUGUGCAGGGAGCAUCUGAGCCCCACCUCCAUGGAGCAUCUCAGUGAAUGAACUCCACAAACUGGGUGGAGCUCUGGGUUCCAAGAGAGGUGGAGAACCCCAAACCUCUUGCAGCAUGUUCAUUCCAAGCGUUGGCUUUCCUCAAGCGUUCAGGCUUUUUGAGACAAUCCUUGUGCAGUUCUGUCCCACUGAACUUCCAGCCCACCUGGGUCAUAAGCUGCCUGUACUUUCUUUGUCAGGGUUUUCUGUAGUGACCCAGAAGCUCCCUGGUGUAACCCCCUGCUCUCUCCAUCAUUAAGAGGAAGCACCAUGUUUCUCUUACUCCACUACGGUUUGAGCAGAGCAGCCCUAUGAGACACCUGGUCCCCAUGUAGCUGUUUGCUCUCCUUCAUCCUUACCAUCCCGUCUGGAACUCUUGGCUCUCUGGGACAUGCCCUGGUGAGCUUUCAGCUCUGGCUAUUGCCAAAGUGCAGGUGGAUUUGGCAAGAGAAAACCAGCAUCUGUGUCGUGCUUGCCAUCAAGCUCCUGUGAAAGCUCUGGAAGGGCACACCGCGGGGCUGGCACAGAGAGCCCCGAGUGCCCAAACUGCGCUUUCAGACGUGUUUUAGUGAAGCUCAAGCACUUGUAGGUGUUGGUACCGAGCUGGUGCAGGCACGGCUGCCGGCGUGGGCUCUGCUCCUCCCUGUCUCUCUCCCAGCUGUCCUGCUCUGGUGAGGACGAGGUAGGAGCCGCAGCUCAGGCGUUCUGGACCGUGUUGGGUUUUCCUUUCUGUUGAUGUCUACAUUAGACCCGAGUCUGUUCUGGUGACGUUCCUAUUCCUGCUCAUUCUGUGUCCGCUCUGUGCGUGCACCGUGUAACGAAUGUAUGUAAGCAGCGGGACGCGGGGGGCUGGCGGCCCCGGUGUGAUGCCAGCCCGUGGCUGUUGUCGUGUUUCUCGCGUUGGGGGGUGAAGCCAUGAGCUUUUCUGAUGUUCUCGGUUGUUCUGAGGGGUUUCCCCCCCCACCCCGGGAGACCUCAUUUCCAGAGGACUGUAAUGGAUGCUCUGUCCUGCUCUGUGAUAAAGCAUAGUCUGUGCUGUGC